AGCGAACGCUGGCGGCAGGCUUAACACAUGCAAGUCGAGCGGGCACUUUCGGCUUUUAGCGGCGGAUGGGUGAGUAACGCGUGGGAACGUGCCCUCUUGUUCGGAAUAACUCAGGGAAACUUGAGCUAAUACCGGAUACGCCCUUUUGGGGAAAGGCGUGCUGCCGGAGGAUCGGCCCGCGUCUGAUUAGCUAGUUGGUGAGGUAACGGCUCACCAAGGCGACGAUCAGUAGCUGGUCUGAGAGGAUGAUCAGCCACACUGGGACUGAGACACGGCCCAGACUCCUACGGGAGGCAGCAGUGGGGAAUAUUAGGCAAUGGGCGCAAGCCUAAUCCAGCCAUGCCGCGUGAGUGAUCAAGGCCUUAGGGUUGUAAAGCUCUUUUAUCCGGGACGAUAAUGACGGUACCGGAGGAAUAAGCCCCGGCUAACUUCGUG
rnacentral:rRNA from 1 species